rnacentral:rRNA from 1 species
AAGUUAACGUCAGGGUUUAAGGUUAUUAACCUUAAACUUUUCUUCACAAUUGAAAGUGCUUUACAACCCUCAGGCCUUCUUCACACACGCGGCAUUGCUGGAUCAGGCUUGCGCCCAUUGUCCAAUAUUCCCC